rnacentral:misc_RNA from 1 species
GUGAUGAUCAUGUUUACAAAUCAUUUUUAGACAUUUUGAACAUGUACAGAAAAGAAAAUAAAUCCAUCACUGAAGUCUACCAAGAGGUUGCUAUGCUUUUUCAAGACCAUAAUGAUCUGCUAGUGGAGUUUACUCAUUUUCUACCUGAUUCUUCAGCUACAGUCUCAGCUUACUAUCCUCCAUCUGUUAGGAAUUCCAUUCUUCAUGAUAGGAGCUCUGCUAUGCCCACAAUGCGCCAAAUGCAUGUUGACAAGAAAGAAAGGACUGCUGUUUCCCAUGCUGAUCGUGACUUCAGUGUUGACCGUCCUGAUCCAGACCAUGAUAUAUCUCUAAUAAGAUUGGACAAAGAGCAACGAAGGCGUGG